rnacentral:rRNA from 1 species
GACGAACGCUGGCGGCGUGCUUAACACAUGCAAGUCGAACGGAAAGGCCCAGCUUGCUGGGUACUCGAGUGGCGAACGGGUGAGUAACACGUGGGUGAUCUGCCCCAAACUUCGGGAUAAGCCUGGGAAACUGGGUCUAAUACCGGAUAUGACCUGCUCCUGCAUGGGGGUUGUGGAAAGCUUUUGCGGUUUGGGAUGGGCCCGCGGCCUAUCAGCUUGUUGGUGGGGUAAUGGCCUACCAAGGCGACGACGGGUAGCCGACCUGAGAGGGUGAUCGGCCACACUGGGACUGAGACACGGCCCAGACUCCUACGGGAGGCAGCAGUGGGGAAUAUUGCACAAUGGGCGCAAGCCUGAUGCAGCGACGCCGCGUGAGGGA